rnacentral:rRNA from 1 species
AUGGUGAAGGAGAAGACAGCGGCUCUGGAGCGGGCAAAGAAGGUGACGGCGAGGUCAAAGGGGAAGGCGACGAGCCGGGGCGGAUCUUCCUCGCGGACUGGCCUGCCGAAGGGUUGGAUCCAGGGCGACUGGAUCCACUCGAGGAUCUCCCAAGAAGACCUCGACGACCUGGCCGAGGGAGGGCUGAUCCCCUACGACUCAGCGCGGCUUUCGGGGAAGGAAUCCGAGCCGCAACCCCGGGAGGGUGAGCGCGUUCUUCUUGCCACCCACGUCGACCGUGGGUUUUCCUUGCCUCCUCAUCCUUUCUUCCGAGGGUUUCUGAACUUCUUUGGGGCUCAACUCCACCAUUUUACCCCCAACUCAAUCGUUUAUCUUGCCGUGUUCAUUUCCUUGUGUGAGAACUUCUUGGGUUGUCGACCUCACUUGGGUCUUUUCAAGCAUAUUUUCACUUGUCGCUCCCAGACAGUGAAAAAAUCCAAUCCGAGUGACGAGAGGACCCAAGUGAUCCAGAUGUGUGGGGGUCUUGGCAUCCAGACGAGGGAAAAAAGCUCCUUUCCGGCCAUGAUUCUUCCUGAUUCAGUUCGCGGAUGGCAGUCGACCUGGUUCUACUGCAAAGACCAGUCGACGCCAGGGCAAUCGACUGGCCUCCCUCCCUUUACCAUGGACCGAGUGGAAAAACCCUCCCCUUUGAAGGUGCUCCCGGAGGAGAAGGCGCACGUGAAGGUGUUGGUCAACCGAGUGGUCCAGCUCAUUCGUGACGGGGUCACUGGUAUGGAUCUCUUGGGGGUCUUCCUUCAGCGGUGCAUCUAG